AAAGUCGUAACAAGGUUUCCGUAGGUGAACCUGCGGAAGGAUCAUUAUGAAUUUUGACGGGGGUCUUGAAUGAGACCUCUUCAUUUUUCUGUGAACUGGUAUUGUUUGUUCCGAGUAGGCUGUCCUUUUAUUGGGAGGGUUGAAAAGAUGAACGAUAUGUUUUUGUUAUCUUAUAUUUAUUCCAUCUUUUAUUUCAUACAUCUUUUUCUUUUUCGAAAGAAGAAGACUUUUUGAAGUAAAAACAAAAACCAAGACAACUUUCAGCAAUGGAUCUCUUGGCUCUU
rnacentral:misc_RNA from 1 species